rnacentral:rRNA from 1 species
GACAGAGGGUGCAAACGUUGUUCGGAAUUACUGGGCGUAAAGCGCGUGUAGGCAGCUCGGCAAGUCGGGUGUGAAAGCCCUGGGCUCAACCUAGGAAGUGCACUCGAAACUUCCGAGCUGGAGUGCUGGAGAGGAAGGCGGAAUUCUCGGUGUAGAGGUGAAAUUCGUAGAUAUCGAGAGGAACACCGGUGGCGAAGGCGGCCUUCUGGACAGUUACUGACGCUGAGACGCGAAAGCGUGGGGAGCAAACAGG